rnacentral:lncRNA from 1 species
AAAGAGAACAGUAACUGGGAUUCGAUAAUUUUCCCCUUAUUUAAUUUCAUGAUCAUACUAUUAACAGCUAAACCAAUAAAGUACUUAUCGGUUUCUAGCUGGAACGAAAUGGAUUCUUUUGACAUUAGGCUGCUGUAUUGAACGGAAUCCUUUGGUCCGGUUGCAGCCGUGUAGGAGCCAUAACAUGGCCUGCGAAGCCCAUCUGGUUGAUGCAUGGCGGGUCAUUCCUGCCAGGAAUAUUGGUGCAGCUAUUGUGUCCACCAGGAGCGGGUACUCCCUUCUGGACAGACUGUAGGAUAAUAUCAUAUUCUUUUAGAACCCGGCCAGAAGCUUCAAAUGGAUGGUUGCUUACAAGAAAAAUCACAGCUGUAGUGACAAGAAAAUGUUGUAGGUUCCUCAUUUUAGUGUAUAUGGCAAAAUGCUAGCAAGCAAUAUAAUUACUCAAGAUCGAUCUAGC